GCCGGGAGCAGUGGCGCAUGCCUGUAAUCCCAGCAACUCUGGAGGCUAAGGCAGGAGGAUGAUGGAGAGUUCAAAGCCAGCCUCAGCAACUUGGCAAGGCCCUAUGCUAAUCAGUGAGACCCUGUCUCUA
rnacentral:sRNA from 1 species